rnacentral:rRNA from 1 species
UACGUAGGGACCAAGCGUUGUUCGGAUUUACUGGGCGUAAAGGGCGCGUAGGCGGUCCGGUAAGUCCGUUGUGAAAGUCAGGGGCUCAACCCUUGAAUGCCGGCGGAUACUGUCGGGCUAGAGUCCGGAAGAGGCAAGUGGAAUUCCCGGUGUAGCGGUGAAAUGCGCAGAUAUCGGGAGGAACACCUAUGGCGAAGGCAGCUUGCUGGGACGGUACUGACGCUUAGACGCGAAAGCGUGGGGAGCAAACAGG